rnacentral:rRNA from 1 species
GACGAACGCUGGCGGCGUGCUUAACACAUGCAAGUCGAACGAUGAAGAAGAGAAACGCGAACUUCGGUUCAAAUUUCACUUCGGAUUAGUGGCAGACGGGUGAGUAACGCGUGAGCAACCUACCUCUUACAAAGGGAUAGCCUCGGGAAACCGUGAUUAAUACCAUAUGACACAUUCAUAAGGCAUCUUAAGAAUGUUAAAGCUACGGCGGUAAGAGAUGGGCUCGCGUCCCAUUAGCUAGUUGGUGAGGUAACGGCCCACCAAGGCGACGAUGGGUAACCGGCCUGAGAGGGUGAACGGUCACAUUGGAACUGAGACACGGUCCAAACUCCUACGGGAGGCAGCAGUGGGGAAUAUUGCACAAUGGAGGGAACUCUGAUGCAGCGACGCUGCGUGAGCGAUGAAGGAAUUCGUUUCGUAAAGCUCUGUUCUAUGGGAAGAAAAGGACUGUACCAUAGGAGAAAGCCCCGGCUAAAUACGUG